rnacentral:rRNA from 1 species
AGUGAACGCUGGCGGUGGGCCUAACACAUGCAAGUCGAACGGCAGCACAGUAAGAGCUUGCUCUUACGGGUGGCGAGUGGCGGACGGGUGAGGAAUACAUCGGAAUCUACUUUUUCGUGGGGGAUAACGUAGGGAAACUUACGCUAAUACCGCAUACGACCUACGGGUGAAAGCAGGGGAUCUUCGGACCUUGCGCGAUUGAAUGAGCCGAUGUCGGAUUAGCUAGUUGGCGGGGUAAAGGCCCACCAAGGCGACGAUCCGUAGCUGGUCUGAGAGGAUGAUCGGCCACACGGGAACUGGGACACCGUCCAGACUCCUACGGGACGCAGCAGUGGGGAAUAUUGGACAAUGGGCGCAAGCCUGAUCCAGCCAUACCGCGUGGGUGACGAAGGCCUUCGGGUUGUAAAGCCCUUUUGUUGGGAAAGAAAAGCAGCAGCUUAAUACCCCGCUGUUCUGACGGUACCCAAAGAAUAAGCACCGGCUAACUUCGUG